GUCGAGUACUGUUUGGCUGAGCCUUUCCUUGUGGGGAACCAGUCUGCUCUUUAUUGAGUGGGCGGGGGAUCCACAACUUUUACUUUGAAAAAAUUAGAGUGUUCAAAGCAGGCCUGCGCUUGAAUACAUUAGCAUGGAAUAAUAGAAUAGGACUUUGGUACUAUUUUGUUGGUUUCUAGGACCGAGGUAAUGAUUAAUAGGGACAGUUGGGGGUAUUAAUAUUUAAUUGUCAGAGGUGAAAUUCUUGGAUUUAUGAAAGAUUAACUUAGGCGAAAGCAUCUACCAAGGAUGUUUUCAUUAAUCAAGAACGAAAGUUAGGGGAUCGAAGACGAUCAGAUACCGUCGUAGUCUUAACUAUAAACUAUACCAACCAGGGAUCAGAGAAUGUUACAUAUUAAAAACAUGGAUGACUUCUUUGGCACCUUGUGAGAAAUCAUAAGUGUUCGGGUUCUGGGGGGAGUAUGGCUGCAAAGCUGAAACUUAAAGGAAUUGACGGAAGGGCACCACCAGGAGUGGAGCCUGCGGCUUAAUUUGACUCAACACGGGAAAACUUACCAGGUCCAGACAUAGUAAGGAUUGACAGAUUGAGAGCUCUUUCUUGAUUUUUCAGGUGGUGGUGCAUGGCCGUUCUUAGUUGGUGGAGUGAUUUGUCUGCUUAAUUGCGAUAACGAACGAGACCUUAACCUGCUAAAUAGCCAGGCUAGCUUUGGCUGGUCGCCGGCUUCUUAGAGGGACUAUCGG
rnacentral:rRNA from 1 species